AGCGGCGGCCGGAAGUGGGUGGGGGAAGGGCGGCGCAGCUUCCGCUCCUGCGCACCGUGGUCGCCAGCCCGCGCCGGGUCCCGGGGAGAGCGGACCCGCUCUCGGCCAGCGACACCUAGGGUCGCCUUCUAACGACCUUGGUUUGAACCCCCAGCCAAAAACCUCCUUACGUAGGGAUUAAGAAGCUAUGGCCCUGUACGUAAAGGAGCACUUAAAAUCAGGAACACUGUUACCCGAGCAAGACAUAGGCUAGGAGCCAGCGCUCACAAAGUGGACCGCGUGGACUGAGGGUGCCUUAGGUCCCAGUCUCAUCAUUUCUAAGGCUGAAUGGUCCAUCUUGAAUUCUGUGAAAACCACCCUGCAGCUGUCGACCUCUGAUGUCAGCCACUACACUCAUCUUCAAGCUUCUCACUCGGUGCCUUCACAGAACUUCCUGAAUCACUACUACGUCCACGUUAGUUAGCAGUUGCUAUACUGCCACUGUGUGGAAUGUCAGUUAUCAGCUUCUGGACCACCACUUCAAAUAAUGUUACUUAGGCAAACAAA